UACGAAGGGGGCUAGCGUUGCUCGGAAUCACUGGGCGUAAAGCGCACGUAGGCGGGUCUUUAAGUCAGGGGUGAAAUCCUGGAGCUCAACUCCAGAACUGCCUUUGAUACUGAGGAUCUCGAGUCCGGGAGAGGUGAGUGGAACUCCGAGUGUAGAGGUGAAAUUCGUAGAUAUUGGGAAGAACACCGGUGGCGAAGGCGGCUAUCUGGACCGUAACUGACGCUGAGGCGCGAAAGCGUGGGGAGCAAACAGG
rnacentral:rRNA from 1 species